GAAAUGAGUGACCAAACCCUCCAUCCAAACCUCACUUUUCAACUUCUGGUGAUCUCUGUGACUCUCUCUCUCUCACUCACACACGCCUUUUUAUUGGUCUUUCUUUGUCUAUCCGUGAAGGGUGAAGAAGACCAUAACUUUAUGCAGUUUUCGAUAUUAGCGUAAAGCCUUGAAAGUAACUCUCUCGAUUCCACAACCUCUCUCUCUAGAAGUCUUUUAUUUUAUCUCCUCAAAUUCUGCAAAGCGAUUAACUAUGGCCAUUUUCAUCAAUCAAGACGGAAAUAGACUACCAUGAAGGAAGCGAGUACUGGGUUCAUCUCUCUCUCUUAAUUUCUUGCGUUUCAGCUUCAUUCUUUUGUUUAAUUUGAUUGGUGAUGAGAGAGAGAGAAAUUAGAGAGGUUCUGGCUGGAUAAUGGGAGGAGGUAGGAGCUGGCCGGGAAUAGUACCACCACCGAUAACGAGCGUAGCUCCAGUGAGUAGUAGUGUGGAGAGAGAAGAGCAUUGGAGGCAGUUUGAUAAUUCUGUCAAUGCGGUGUCGUUUGGAUUUGUUGCCACUGCCAUUCUCAUUUCUAUGUUUCUUGCUAUGGCUAUCUUUGAGAGGUUUUUGCGGCCGAGAUCCACGCCUGCCGGUGCCCGGAAUCAUGGGGAUCUCGACCCACAGAUCACCCUCAGUGGGAAGCUCGAUUACCCAUCUCCCAAAAUGACAAUUUAUGCUGGAGGCUUGUCAGUACUGAUGCCCGGAGAAGAAAUUCCUACCUUCAUUGCACAUCCAGCUCCUGCACCAUGUCCAACCGAGUGCAUAUCACGACCUCUUCAACAACAUAGCACACUUGCCGAUCUUUCCUCGAGUUCAAGUUUAAGCUAAACACUGGGCUUCCUAGAAAAGGAAACAAACAUUAAAAUCGAUCAAUACACCUGGUUCGUGCACAGCAUUCACUGUGUUGAUGAAACUUGAGCGAUUUCACAACUCGGGAACUAAGGAUAUGAUAUCACAAUAGGGUUUAUCUGCUUCUGCUUCUUUGAGGGCAGUCCAUUCACUGUCUCCGCACUUUGAAUAUCCAAGCAUUGAAGAACCACCAUAUAUUACUACAACCCAAUACUUGUUUUUACUGUGAAUUGGGUGUGAUGACACUACAGCUUUCUCAAUAUAAGGGAUUUUCAACCUUUCGACAACGGCACCGCGAAAAAGAGGAAGUUGAAUCCGAACCUCUAAGAAUGGACUGAAGAUACACGGGGCUGCUUCUUUAUGGUCAUAAAAUAUCAGCCACCCAUGACAUGAUCCAAUGUAAUGAGCAUGACCCAUGUAUUCUGGAAUAUUGAUCAGCCUGCAGACUUUUUUCUGUGUAAAAUUGUAUAAGCAACUGCUAUUUUUAUUGCCUUGAUCAUCAUCAUCAUCACUAGGAAGUAUGAGCAAAGGUGGUUGAUCAAACAAUGGAGUCUCUAGUGAUGAUAUUCGGGCUUCCGCAAGAGAGCACCAAGAAUGACAGACUGCUCUGGCACUAAGCAAGUCGGCCACAUACAAUCGGUUCAGGAUUGAUUCCCACAAGUCAGUAUGAAGUACAGACCAAUCUGGUGAUGCUGUUUUUCUUCUUUUGGUGGGAUGACCCAAAUAGGUUUUGUUGGCAAUCAUUCUCUGUGUCUAGGCUUCGAUCGCAACCGAAAAAAAAAAAUUGUUUUCUAAGGUUUGAGCAUGUCAAAGGUUAUGUUUCUUAGAAAACAAACAACUGGUGUAACAAUUCCAUGUUUUUUGUUGACAAAACUAUGUGUGAAUAUGUAUAGAAAGGUAGAGAAGUUCUUGCAAGAAUAGGAAACAAAAGAGUUGCCUUAUAUUUGGAAAUUUGUGAAGUUCAAGAAAUAUUUAAUAUUUGCCAAUGAGUUUGUGCCAUGUCACGGAUUCCUGUAAUCUUGAUUGUAAUUGUGAAAUACGAAAUACGAA